rnacentral:rRNA from 1 species
AGAGUUUGAUCCUGGCUCAGGAUGAACGCUAGCGGGAGGCUUAACACAUGCAAGUCGAGCGGGAUUAGCAGCAAUGCUAUGAGAGCGGCGCACGGGUGCGUAACGCGUAUGCAACCUGCCUUAUACAGGGGAAUAGCCCAUGGAAACGUGGAUUAACGUCCCAUAGGAUCACGGGAUCGCAUGGUUUUGUGAUUAAAACUGAGGUGGUAUAAGAUGGGCAUGCGUCUGAUUAGGUAGUUGGUGAGGUAAUGGCUCACCAAGCCGACGAUCAGUAGGGGUUCUGAGAGGAUUACCCCCCACACUGGUACUGAGACACGGACCAGACUCCUACGGGAGGCAGCAGUGAGGAAUAUUGGUCAAUGGCCGGAAGGCUGAACCAGCCAUCCCGCGUGCAGGAUGACGGCCCUAUGGGUUGUAAACUGCUUUUGUACCUGAAGAAACCUGGUUACGAGUAACCAGUUGCCGGUAAGGUAUGAAUAAGCAUCGGCUAACUCCGUGCCAGCAGCCGCGGUAAUACGGAGGAUGCAAGCGUUAUCCGGAUUCAUUGGGUUUAAAGGGUGCGCAGGUGGGAAAAUAAGUCAGUGGUGAAAUACUGCCGCUUAACGGUAGAAUUGCCAUUGAUACUGUUUUUCUUGAGUAUGGUUGAGGUAGGUGGAAUGUGUUGUGUAGCGGUGAAAUGCAUAGAUAUGACACAGAACGCCGAUUGCGAAGGCAGCUUACUAAGCCAUUACUGACGCUGAGGCACGAAAGCGUGGGGAUCAAACAGGAUUAGAUACCCUGGUAGUCCACGCCGUAAACGAUGAUCACUCGCUGUUUGCGAUAUACAGCAAGCGGCUGAGCGAAAGCAUUAAGUGAUCCACCUGGGGAGUACGAUCGCAAGGUUGAAACUCAAAUGAAUUGACGG